CCUCAUUUGCUGUGGUUAGCCACCGAACGGAGUGUUCCCGCAUCUGACAAGCGCGGGACCAGAAGAGGCUCAUUUGAUUUUUUUACUUUCCCAAAAUGCCGAAGCGGGCGUAUCCUUUCACGGAGACCUUCUCGUCUCAGUAUAAAAUACACGUCGGACAACGUGAACUUAAUAACGCCAGCGUUUUGGGGAGCAAAUACAGGAAAGAGAUCUACGAAAAGACGAAAAAUUUACUUUUUAAUGGUGCCAAAGCUGUGGUGGACAAAAUAUGGACUGGUGAGGAAAAAGUAAUCGGCCCUCGGCCAACAGGACAAGAGUUAACAGUUAAAAGCAGCCAGACUCUGUUAAGAGGGCAGACAUUGAUUGGAAGUGAUGGGAGGUUGACCAAAGCAACCAAACGAGAAGGAUCAUCGGCUGGUAUUGGCUGCUGCGUGUGUCAGAAGAGUGGAUCACGGCAGACAUCUUGUUUCCAGUGUGAGCGCCUUUCCUGCUUGUCUUGCAGCCGGCAGUGCUCCAACUGCUUCAACCAGUGCUGUUCUGUCUGCACCAUCAUUGAGUUUCGGUGGUAAAAUGUUGCUUCUUACCGGAGAUCAGCUGAGUUUGUGCCGUCCAUAAAGCUGCCGUUGACUUCCCUGAGACACUGCGCGUCAACAUACCCGUGGACACACCCCUCCGACUAUCAGUUACAGCGGACGUUAUGAUGAAGUUCUCUGCUGCAGUUGCUCAACGUAAUAAAAGUUUGGCACACGGAUCCGAUGAGUUUAUGCUUGAAUAUGUACUGUAGUAUCCUCCAUAUUAUGAAUUACUCUUGACUGCCUUUUACAAAUUCAUCAAUAUUGUCUUAUGUUUCUCCCGAUGACCUCAAUGUUUGCAUGUAUAGCUAUAGAAUGAAAUAAACUUGAACUUGACAUUUUUAUACACA